rnacentral:lncRNA from 11 species
AUGGAAAUCUGCUGGGUCACUUUGUGCAGAUCACAUUCAUUUAACCUCAGAAGAAGGAAAAGAUUCUCACUGCUUUACGACAAAGACAGAUUAUGGGCAGAUAAAUUCACCUGAGGAAGACUAAGAGUCAAAACCGGUAGUGUGUUCUACGUGCUCUUCGGUUCAACUGAUUGAUUUUCACAAGCGGCAAAGUUAUGUAUAGAGCAAGUAUUGUUAACUUAUAUAUUCAUUUUGAUGUACAGAACAUUAAAAUUAC